rnacentral:rRNA from 1 species
AACGAACGCUGGCGGCAGGCCUAACACAUGCAAGUCGAGGGAGAAGCCUUUCUUCGGAGAGGUGGAGACCGGCGCACGGGUGAGUAACGCGUGGGAACCUGGCCUGAGGUGGGGGAUAACCGCUGGAAACGGCGGCUAAUACCGCAUAAGCCCUUUGGAGUGGCAUCCAUUGGGGAAAGAUUUAUCGCCUUAGGAUGGGCCCGCGUUGGAUUAGCUAGUUGGUGGGGUAAGAGCCCACCAAGGCGACGAUCUAUAGCUGGUCUGAGAGGAUGAUCAGCCACACUGGGACUGAGACACGGCCCAG